rnacentral:rRNA from 1 species
AUCUUACCGGGACCGACAGCGAUAUCCCUUUUUUGGGUGAAGACUUUGCCGGAUUAUCUGAGAGGUGGUGCAUGGCCGUCGUCAGUUCGUACUGUGAAGCAUCCUGUUAAGUCAGGCAACGAGCGAGACCCACGCCCACAGUUGCCAGCGUACUCUCCGGAGUGAUGGGUACACUGUGGGGACCGCCGCUGCUAAAGCGGAGGAAGGAAUGGGCAACGGUAGGUCAGUAUGCCCCGAAUAUCCCGGGCUACACGCGAGCUACAAUGGUUGGUACAAUGGGUAUCUACCCCGAGAGGGGAUGGCAAUCUCCUAAAACCAGUCUUAGUUCGGAUUGAGGGCUGCAACUCGCCCUCAUGAAGCUGGAAUCCGUAGUAAUCGCGUUUCAACAGAACGCGGUGAAUACGUCCCUGCUCCUUGCACACACCGCCCGUCAAACCACCCGAGUAGGGUCUGAAUGAGAGCGCUUACCAAUCGGAGGCGUUCGAAUUUGGGCUUUGCAA